GCUAGGAUACCCUGGUUCCCACAAAACGAGUCGAGGCUGCGAUUUGAGAGUCAAACAUGAACUGGCUUUAAUGGCACAGGGACAGCGUUAUUUAUGCAAAAUCCCAGGUCCAGGGACAGCCCCCUCUGGACCUGAUGGGAUACCGGGACAAUACACACAGUUGACCAAUGACAAUAUACUGUAUCGUUUGAAAUAGUCCCCGCCCCGCUUGGAGAUAAUGAUUCCAACGGUUAUGGCAAUUCAAUUAUCUCCAAAUGCCCAGAGUCCCACGUGUAUUUCCAACAUGUAAAAACAGCAUAAAAUAUAUAUUCAUAACAGUUUACUAAAUACCCCUUACAUUCUACCAUUCAUUAGAUAGCUCAGGUCUGAACGCCUCAUAUAGGCGAAUAGCGCUCAGACCUCACGAACGGUAUAGCCAGUCUCUGGUAUAUGUCUUUUUGUGUUUCUUUGUCCCGAACACGAGAUGGCGGCCAUCUUUUCUAUCUGUGAAUAGGCGAGCGGGUCUCGGCUUCAAAACUCCUGGAGCGAAACACGGGUAGCAUGCUGUACGAAUAUCGCUCUCUGGUUGUCCCAACCCUUUCGUGAACCGAACGUAGAUCGCCCUGAAGGGGCCAAUUUGCCUGUGGUUAACCGCAGCCUCAACUUUCUAAGUGCAGACACACGCCGUGGUGUAGGUGGUCCUCGUUCGGGAGUUUGAAUACGGUGAAAAUAGUCGACGAACGAGGCCACCCUGAGGCAGUCAAUUAAGGUUGUGGUCAACCGCAUACCGCAGCUUCAAGGUGGUCAUCCGUUCGGUUAUUUCCGAGGUCAACAGGGUUAAGAGGCGGCACACGCCAGGGGCCGGGUGGUCUGAGUUCGUAUGCAGGUAUAGGUAAUCCUAGUUGUUCGUGUAAAUGGAGUUUAGGUAACAAUAAUACCGAAAGAACCGACUUCGGUAACUUAACAUAGGGUAAUCCAAUACGGGCCGGUGGGGUGUCCGUAACACUUACUAACUAUGACUUCUGGUUCUGAUAGUAAAGGGACACUCCAGGCCUCUAAAACAUUUUAGCUUGCUGAAGAGCUUUAUGUGUGAAGAGUGUGUCCUAUUUUUUCAUUUUACAAAAACUGCAGAUUUCAAUAGAAAUUAGCACUAUUACAAGUUAACCUUAUUACACCCCCUUGGCUGUCAAUCAGACAACCAGUCCUGUUACUUUCUGGUUUGCUCAGUGGAGUUAAACUCAAUAGGCAGCAGUUGCCCAGAGCACCUGUCUUGCAAAGACUUCUUAUUGAGCUGCAUUGGGGAGUCUGUGAUUGGACAACCACAGAAAGUCUGGGCGGGGUUAGAAGGGGAGGGCUUGCAAAGGCUGCAGACAAGAGAGCUACAGCUUUUGCAGGCUUUUUUUUUAUUUUAUUUUUUUUUAGAUAUAACCCAAUUGCAAUUAUAUAUAAUUAAAAGCAGGAACGUUUUACAUUUUGGGGUAUAUCUACCACACAGUGAUUUUUUAAAUUUUAUUUUGUAUUUGGGUAGUCUAGUGUCCUUUUAAUUCCUCAUUUAUUUUUACUUUACAUGCUGUGCCCAGGGCAUGGAAUGUAAAUAAUUUUAUCCCUUGCAGUGCACACAGCCCUGCAGAAGGAAAGCCCGAGCGCACACAGCUCGCACAGCAUUUCUCUGUAGAUGUACGAGUGCGUCUGAGGAAUCAUGGGUCCUCAAAGUUACCAACCAAACAAAAGUACAAAGCAGGUAAGUGCAUUUUUUACUUACCUUUGCUGCGUCAUUCAUGCCAGUAAACGCUGGAGUGAGGGGACAAGGAACCGUCACUUCCAGAGAACGAACAGUCCCGCAUUAUAAAAAUUCUUCGGAAAUCGCAAUUAGUACUUUAUUAUUGCUUAUUUAAGUUAUAUAACAGCAAUGAAUACCACAGUGCUUCGCAGUUUUACAAAGGAGAUUUAAAACCACAGAAUUGACAAAUGAAAUAAUGUCGACAGAACAAGAGUCCCCGAUUGUGGCGAACGUACUAUGCUCACGUUGUAAAGAAAUGACUCAGAUCACACUCUGUACAUCCACUCUUACCCUGCACCACAUCCUGCAAAACAAACGCAUCCGUUCACUUUCACAAAAUGAAUCCAGACAUCGGUUUGUUAUUAUACAGAGGGUGCAGGCUGGACACGUGGG